GAUGAACGCUGGCGGCGUGCCUAAUACAUGCAAGUCGAGCGAACAGACGAGGAGCUUGCUCCUCUGACGUUAGCGGCGGACGGGUGAGUAACACGUGGAUAACCUACCUAUAAGACUGGGAUAACUUCGGGAAACCGGAGCUAAUACCGGAUAACAUGUUGAACCGCAUGGUUCAACAGUGAAAGACGGUUUUGCUGUCACUUAUAGAUGGAUCCGCGUCGCAUUAGCUAGUUGGUAAGGUAACGGCUUACCAAGGCAACGAUGCGUAGCCGACCUGAGAGGGUGAUCGGCCACACUGGAACUGAGACACGGUCCAGACUCCUACGGGAGGCAGCAGUCGGGAAUCUUCCGCAAUGGGCGAAAGCCUGACGGAGCAACGCCGCGUGAGUGAAGAAGGUCUUCGGAUCGUAAAACUCUGUUAUUAGGGAAGAACAAAUGUGUAAGUAACUAUGCACGUCUUGACGGUACCUAAUCAGAAAGCCACGGCUAACUACGUG
rnacentral:rRNA from 1 species